rnacentral:rRNA from 1 species
UGCGGAGGGUGCAAGCGUUAUCCGGAUUCACUGGGUUUAAAGGGUGCGUAGGUGGCUUUGUAAGUCAGUGGUGAAAUGCCGGAGCUUAACUCCGGAACUGCCAUUGAUACUGCUUAGCUUGAAUCACGUCGAGGUGGAUGGAAUAUUACAUGUAGCGGUGAAAUGCUUAGAUAUGUAAUAGAACACCGAUUGCGAAGGCAGUUCACUAGGCGUGUAUUGACACUGAGGCACGAAAGCGUGGGGAUCAAACAGG